rnacentral:pre_miRNA from 11 species
UCUCCUCCGAGAUCUCCUGACCUUAUAGGACCUGCAUUGUACACACUGUGUGUAUGGACUGGAGGUGCACAGCGCAUACAAUGUGGAUGCUAUAGAAGUCAACAUCGGCGGCACAACUG